rnacentral:rRNA from 1 species
UACGUAGGGUGCAAGCGUUGUCCGGAAUUAUUGGGCGUAAAGAGCUCGUAGGCGGUCUGUCGCGUCGGCUGUGAAAACCCGGGGCUCAACCCCGGGCCUGCAGUCGAUACGGGCAGACUAGAGUGCGGUAGGGGAGACUGGAAUUCCUGGUGUAGCGGUGAAAUGCGCAGAUAUCAGGAGGAACACCGGUGGCGAAGGCGGGUCUCUGGGCCGUAACUGACGCUGAGGAGCGAAAGCAUGGGGAGCGAACAGG